CUGGAUUUGCACCUGGGGGCCUGGAUAAGUCAUGAUCAUCUUCCUGUUCCUGUUAGACACAGACACUCUUUGGAGAUUUGAAGAUACCAGAAAAUGUCAUAACCUGGGGGAAUGACAGUGUGUGUGGGGUUUCCAGCACUAGGGCAGGCACGGUAGGAGAGGAAAUUGGGGAGUAGAGGGUCUGUUCUAAAUCCAUGACCUUCAGGAUGAUGAUGUUUUGAAGAGUCUGCUCUGAAAACUGAUUGUCGGUGCCCAGACACCAGGGACUCCGAGGAUUUCCUUCUCGUCAAAGGCUGGCCAGAACUGUCAGAAAGGAAUCAUCAGACAACUUCCAGGGGCUCCUGUAAAGCUCUUUAUGACAGGUUCAAUUGUGGCCUUCCUUCCCCAGGUGUCCAGCAACGACUCUUUCAACUGCAUCCUGACCUGGCUCUCUCCUGUCCUCCUAGCUCCUCAGUCAGUUACUUCCUUCCUGGCCCUGGGCUUCCCCAGGUCCUCAUGCUGUGCCUGUCCCACCCGCAGAGCCUUCCCACUAAAAAUCCCAAGAUAGGGAUUUUCCUCCCUGAUCAGGAGUGGGUUGGAGGGAGAUGCCAGAGUUCUUGGCACAAAGGAAAUUGGGGUUAUCCAUGGAUGUAUAUAGCAAAUGCUGUAUGAGGAGUGUAGAUUUUGCAGAUGGACUUGCUUUAAAACCAUCUUUAAGAUUAUUUGAGAGGCUAAAAUAAAAGACAGUGAAAAUACUAGUGUUAGCAAAGGUGUGGAGCAACCAGACCUCUCAUAUGUAGCUCAUAGGAGCAUACAGCUACGUUGGAAAACUACACAGGAAAACUGGCAGUGUCUACAAAAACUACACAGACCCCUACCUCAUGAUGCAGCAACUCCACUCCUGGGAGUACAUGCCCAGGACAUGAAUAUGUAUGUUCAAUAAAAACAUGUUCUAGAGAUGUUGAUAGCAGCAAUAUAUGCAAUAGUCCCAAACUGUAAAUGAUUGAAUGCAUAUUGAUAAGAGAACAAAUAAAUAACUUGUUGUAGGGUCAUACAGUGGAAUACAAUUCAGUAGUAAGAAAAGAACAAACUAGUAUUAUCAUGUUAUGGGCUGAAUCGUGUCCCUCUUCCAAAUUCAUACGUUAAAGCCCUAACUGCUAGUAUGUCAGAAUACAACUGUAUUUGGAGAUAGGGUCUUUAAAUAUGUAAUUAAAUUACAUGAGGUCAUUAGGGCAGGCACUAAUCCAGUAUGACUGGUAUCCUGCUAAGAAGAAGUGCUUAGGGCACAGACACACAAAGGGAAGACCAUGUGAAGAUACAGGGAGAAGGCGGCCAUCUACAAGCCAAAGAAAGAGGCCCCAGAAGAAAUGCAAUCUACCAAAAGUUCAGAGCUUUGGUCUCCAGAACUGUGGGGAAAUAAAUUUCUGUUGUUUA
rnacentral:lncRNA from 10 species